CCUACGGGUGGCUGCAGUGGGGAAUAUUGGGCAAUGGGCGCAAGCCUUACCCAGCAAUACCGCGUGAGUGAAGACGGUCUUCGGAUUGUAAAGCCCUUUGAUCCGGGACGAACAGAUGACGGUAUCUGAAGAACAAGCCCCGGCUAACUACGUGCCAGCAGCCGCGGUAAAACGUAGGGGGCGAGCGUUGUCUGGAAUGACUGGGCGUAACGGGUGCGUAGGCGGGAUAAUGAGUUAGAAGGGAAAUACCCAGGGCUUAACUCGGGUGCUGGUUCUAAGACUGUUGAGCUUGAGUGCGGGAGAGGUUAAUGGAAUGCCUGGUGUAGCGGGGGAAUGCGUAGAUAUUAGGAGGAACACCAGAGGCGAAGGCGAUUAACUGGACCGUAACUGACGCUGAGGCACGAAAGUGUGGGUAGCAAACAGGAUUAGAUACCCCAGUAGUC
rnacentral:rRNA from 1 species